GAAGGUGCAGGAGAGACUUCAGAAGGUGUCCAGGAGAGACUUCAGAAUGCUCUGGGAAAUGGCUGAAAGAGAUGAAGAUGAUCCAUCAAGACCAACGCUCAAUGAAAUAUGUGAAAAUAAUAAACUUAAUGGGAUUAAUUUGCUAACAAGUUCAUUGGUGAGUGAUGGCAUGGAAACUGACAGAAACAGGCAUCUAACACUGCAUCGCAUGAACUGCUAUUGGGUCGACCCUUGAAAGAAACCUUGAAAGAAACCUUGAAAGAACACUUGCAAGAAACAGCAUGACCCUUGCAAGAAACCACAUGAAACUUUGCAUAAAACCUGGCAUAUACUCUCACCUAUAACCAUGCACAUAACUCUUGGAAUGGUUUGCAAAGAUGUCUAAUGCAGUAGGGAUUUUUAUGAAGAAACAAUUAAUUGCCAUGUGCAAAGCGAUAUCUGUGCAGGAAACCAGAAAGGAGCCAUGUGAGAGAGCAGUGAUACAAGGUCCAACUGGUCUAGGUGAUUGAGUCUAUCUGUGGAUGCUCUGGAGAGCUCAGGAGGAAAGGACCAUAUCUGGAUGAGGGCAAAUCCAACAGCUGCCAAAGGGGAUGCCAUUGAUGAAGUACCAAUGCCUCAAAGGAGCGAAGGGGAACAACUCCAGCAAGGAAAGCUGACUGGAAACAGAGGAGCCUGAAUAUUCCAAAGCUCUGAGCUACUAAGUGCAACGUGUGGAAGGAGAAGUUUAUCAGAACAAAGUAAAGAGUGAUUCUGAUAAUAUGCCUGAGUACCACAUACAGAAGUGCCACAAGUCAAGGGAUGAUGAAUGCACUACUGCAGAUUUCAGAACUCAGACUCUUAACCACACAUCUCCAUCAACAUCUUUUCAAAGUUUAAUGAAGAUGCUGAUAGCUCGGAAGAAGAGAGACAAGGAUGAGCAAAGAUCAAGAUCAACAUUUGAUGCUUUUUACGUUUGCAUA